UAGGGAAUCUUCCGCAAUGGGCGAAAGCUUGACGGAGCAACGCCGCGUGAGUGAUGAAGGUCUUCGGAUCGUAAAACUCUGUUAUUAGGGAAGAACAAAUGUGUAAGUAACUAUGCACGUCUUGACGGUACCUAAUCAGAAAGCCACGGCUAACUACGUGCCAGCAGCCGCGGUAAUACGUAGGUGGCAAGCGUUAUCCGGAAUUAUUGGGCGUAAAGCGCGCGUAGGCGGUUUUUUAAGUCUGAUGUGAAAGCCCACGGCUCAACCGUGGAGGGUCAUUUGAAACUGGAAAACUUGAGUGCAGAAGAGGAAAGUGGAAUUCCAUGUGUAGCGGUGAAAUGCGCAGAGAUAUGGAGGAACACCAGUGGCGAAGGCGACUUCCUGGUCUGUAACUGACGCUGAUGUGCGAAAGCGUGGGGAUCAAACAGG
rnacentral:rRNA from 1 species